rnacentral:rRNA from 1 species
UACGGAAGGGGGCUAGCGUUGCUCGGAAUCACUGGGCGUAAAGGGUGCGUAGGCGGGUCUUUUAAGUCAGGGGUGAAAUCCUGGAGCUCAACUCCAGAACUGCCUUUGAUACUGAAGAUCUUGAGUUCGGGAGAGGUGAGUGGAACUGCGAGUGUAGAGGUGAAAUUCGUAGAUAUUCGCAAGAACACCAGUGGCGAAGGCGGCUCACUGGCCCGGUACUGACGCUGAGGCACGAAAGCGUGGGGAGCAAACAGG